rnacentral:lncRNA from 1 species
UUUUUUUUUUUUUUUUUUUUUUUUAUCGAUACGAUAGCUUUUACAUUACGGGGAGCGGGAGGGCCUGAAGAGAUCUUGGAGUAAUCCGAAGGGGACUGAAUUACCACCGGACUAGACGGGCGUACUACGCACCCGUCUGAAUUUUUUAAAUAAAGUCACAUUUAAUUGUGACAAAUUUGUCUUCCACCCCACCAAGUCUUAAUGCAUUGAUGAUGACCACCAGCCUAGACGGAGGAGGACCAAAUAAACUCAAAGUGCUUAGCCACAGGUGUAUUUGGUUGAAUGGCAUUGUGUGAACCAUAUCGAAUCUUCCACUGCUACCUCACAAAAUGCAAAGCCCUCGUCCUUGGGUCUGCUUCCUCCAUUGUUUUUGACAUAUUCUCUUCCCGAAUUGUCCACAUAUCCAAAUUCCUUUCUUUUCUUUUUUUUUCUUUCCUUUUUCCUUUUAGCAUGAAUGAUGGAUAGCAAUAUCGGUGACCCGUACGUGGAGGAUGGACAUCUCUCAAAUUGCGUCCCUGAGAGGGAAACUAACAAUGGCUGCAAAAGCCAAGUUUGGUUUGUGAUAUAUAUAUAUAUAUAUAUCAGUACAACAGCAGAAGUUGAAAGCCACAAAAAGUGCAAAGAGAUAAUCGGAAAGUUAAAAAUCAAAGUUUAAUGGUUGCUUGUAAUUGGCAGAUGUUGAGACGCCACCAUCGUUCCUGUCCUCCUACUUUAGCAAUCAGAUAUUCUUAUUGGCUGUGAUUAUUUUUUCGGGUGUAAUUCUUGAUCAUUCCAACUGUCAAUUGUUAGAAGCAAAAUUUUUUUUGAGAGUGUCAAGUGAAACUAACAGAACCCUCUCCAAAAAAAAAAUAAUUUGUAUGCGACAUGGUAUGAUAUGCAUCUUUUCUAGUUUUCUGCUACAAUAAUUGGGAGUCUUUUUGAAUCAACAACCAGUCUUCUAUCUUUGUGGAGGAAAUAAUUUUGUCGGUGUCUUCUGGCUUUGUGGUUGGAGAACUUAAAUAGUAGUAGUACUACUACUAAGUGUAAGCAGCUGGUUUGACAAAGAGAAGCCAAGGAUCAUUUGUUUAAAAACACACAAUUGCAGGCAAGACCAGACACAGCACAUGAGAUUAGGUAUUUAGGUCGGGGUUGGCAUGACGAAAUGGUUAUGUUUGCAUGAUAUCAGCACCAAGAACUCCCAUCUGGAUAACGAGUACCAGUAGUCGCAAUUACAUUUACCUAUAGCCUGUAGCCUGUAGCCUGUAGCCUGUAGCCUGUAGCCAUCACCAUCACUGAUACUACACAUACCUUUGAGUCUGCGCACGUACGCCGGCAUGCGUUAAAUUCACCGCCAAUAAUCAUUAAUAUUAUUAUUGUUUCCAUAUUACAAAUAAGGAAAAAAAUUAUUGGUUAAUUAAUAACAUUUACCAAAAUAUUUCAAGUCACGUGGUCUUUUAAUUCCUAGUAUUUUUCUACAUAUAAUAACUGUAUUUUGUUACGAGAAAUGUUAUUUACAUUUCAAAUUUUGUUACUCAUAUAUACUCUUCCUAUCCUUUUAUCAUAUAAUUUUUAUUUAUUAAAUUAUAUGAUAAAAUAAACAACGAGAGUGCAAAUAAUUAAAGUAUAUGAUUUAACAAAUAGUGGGAAUAUAAAUAACGUUUAUUUUCCCUUUUGUUACAAAUAAAUGCGGUGUCUUGAUCCUACUUCGUAAUCACAUACCUAAUACAUACAUACAUAUAUAUAUAUACAUAGUAGUAUUAUAGUUUUUUGUAGAGUAAAUCUCUAGCAUUAAUGCAGACCAUCUGUAUGUAUAUAUAUAUAUAUACACUAGCUUGUUAUCCAACUCAUCUUGCAACCACUAUAGAGCAAGCUUCAUUCUGCGUUUUUCAUCUAUUGUAGCUAUAACUGAAAACUAGAGAAGAAUUGUUGAUCAGCAGAAGCCAAUUUAAGCCAUUUUCAAUGGAUCAAACACCCCGUGUAGCCCUCUUACCAUCUCCCGGGAUGGGUCAUCUCAUCCCGCUGGUGGAGUUUGCUAAGCGCCUUAUUCUCCAACACAACUUCUCAGUCACCAUAAUUCUCCCGACGGAUGGACCUCUCUCUAAGGCACAAACCACCUUUCUUGCUGCUCUUCCUGCUGCCAUCGAUUAUAUUCUUCUUCCUCCUGUUAACUUCGACGACUUAGCUGACGACGUUAGGAUUGAGACGCGUAUUUCCCUCACCGUCACUCGCUCUCUUCCUUCCCUUCGUGUUGCGCUCAAGUCUUUGGUUGACACCACCAAGUUGCCCGCUCUCGUGGUCGAUCUUUUCGGCACGGAUGCCUUUGAUGUAGCCAAUGAAUUCAAGCUCCCGCCAUAUAUCUUCUUCCCUUCCACCGCCACGGCUUUAGCGUUUUUCUCCUACCUGCCUAAGCUUCAUGAGAUGGUUGCAUGUGAAUUUAGAGACUUGCCCGGGCCAAUUCGAGUCCCGGGUUGUGUACCAAUUCACGGGAGGGAUCUCCUCGACCCGGCUCAGGACCGAAAGAACGACGCCUACAAGUGGCUGCUUCACCACGCGAGGAGGUACAGCCUGGCCGAGGGAAUCCUGGUGAACAGCUUCAAGGACUUGGAGCCUGGACCUUUAAAAGCGUUGCAGGAGCAAGAACCGGGUAAGCCACCGGUUUAUCCGGUUGGACCACUUAUACAGAUGGGCUCAGGGGACAGGAGGGGGGAGGAGUCGGAAUGCUUGAAAUGGUUGGAUGAUCAGCCCAGCGGGUCCGUUCUGUACAUUUCGUUUGGGAGCGGCGGGACCCUCUCCCAUAAUCAGCUAAUCGAGCUAGCAUUUGGAUUGGAGAUGAGCGAGCAAAGAUUCUUGUGGGUGGUCCGGAGUCCAAAUGAUGGAGUUGCCAAUGCCACUUACUUCACCGUCCACAGUCAAAAUGAUCCUCUGGCUUUUAUGCCGGAAGGGUUCUUGGAUAGGAUCAAGGGUCGAGGUUUUUUGCUGCCAUCUUGGGCUCCACAGGCUAAAAUUCUCGGCCACAGUUCCACCGGUGGGUUUCUGACCCACUGCGGUUGGAACUCGACUCUUGAAAGCGUGGUUGAGGGGAUUCCGCUUAUUGCUUGGCCGCUCUACGCGGAGCAGAAGAUGAACGCCGUAAUGCUUGCGGAGGAUCUAAAAGUUGCUUUGAGGCCAAAGGCUGACGAAAAUGGAUUCGUGGGAAGAGUUGAGAUUGCAAACAUGGUAAAGAGGUUAAUGGAAGGAGAAGAAGGGAAGAGGCUCCGUAGCCGAAUGAAGGAGCUCAAGGAUGCAGCUGCUAAGGUUUUGAGCCAAGACGGUUCUUCCGCAGAAGCUCUAGCCCAAGUUGCCGGCAAGUGGCAGGCCAAAAUUUGUACGUAAAUUAGAUUAUAGCCUCGUCUUAGUUUUGCCCUUUCUGUUCUUGGUGUAUUUUUUUUUAUUUAAAAGCACCUUGUUCUGCGUUGGUUUCAAGCGCAUAAAUGUAGGAGGUGUAUUGUCUUUGGUUAAAUAAGUUAAAAAGGGUAAUUUGGUUUUGUAAAGAGGUCAGUUUCUAUGAGCCCCCAUUCUAUUAUUUUGGUGUUCGACUUGGAUGAGUAUUAAGUGGAGAAUGAGGAGCCGGCGAAGGCUUGGGCACGUCCAUUGCAUGACAAAAAUUCGAGAUGUGCUUGCUUGAGUACCUGUAAAAAUUCAUGCGGCUGCUCAUUUAGGAAUGGAGUGUUAUAAACCACUUGUGCUGUCCCAAAUACAUGGCUACUACUAGGUUGGUGGGAUCCGGGAUACGUGCAUCCAUGUAAAAUACAGGCAGGCAUACGAUUGCCACUUGUUAAGUUUUUAUCCCCUGCCCUCUUCUUAGUCCUUACCAAGGAGCGGGGAUGGGCCAAUAAGAAGGACAGGUUAAAAUUUGUGGUGGGCGCGGGCGUUAAGUGGAGUUGGUGGCUGCCUGCCAUCGUCACAAGGAUGCCCCAGUCUAUCCCGUAACAUGUAUACUUUCUUCUUCUUUUUUUGUGUGUGUAAAAUAGUGUACAGUGACUACAUUAGAUGCUGAUUACUCCGGCAUUGAACGGUGUCAGGUGUCGGAUUUCUUCUAGCGGUAGCGGGGAGGAGGUGGGGUGCAGGGAGAGGAGGUGGCGAGGGAAGGGGGGAGGGAGAGAGGAGGAAAGAAAAGAAAGAGAGGAGGGGGGUGUCGUUGCCAUCGUUGGAGAAGAUGCCGGCCGACAAGCCGAACAAGUGAAGAAGGAAGGAGAAAGGCAAAAAAGGAAAAAACUUUAUGGUGUAUUGGAAUAUUUUAGAGUGUGUGUCUUAAAAAUUUGGAAUAUUUUUAAAAGGUUUUUAUAGACAAAGUUGUAAAAGAAUUUGUCUAUAAAAUGCCCCUGAAAAAAACCAAUCCCAAGGGAACCCAUUGUUUUCUCUAUCUACAAUAUUCGAACCUGAAACCUUUCUUUUAGGAACAUCGAACUCCUUGUUAUUUAACCUAAUAACAGUUGGUAUUCACUAUAAUCACCUAAUAACCGUUGGUAUUCACUAUCUAACCCAAAACUUUCUAAAAUCACGGGUCUCGCAAGUUCCAAUUAUAAUUGGUCGAGGACAAAAUGAUUCCUUUUUACAUUUUCAUAUCACUCUCUUACUCUUUUUUUCAACUCCAGUAAAUAACUUUUCGUUGAAUUAAUAUCACUCUCUUACUUAUUUACAUUCUAUCUCGAUUCAUUUACAUCAUGCGUUCACUUAUUUACACCGUUAGAAACAAACUAGUUUGAACUAAACUUGUGAGGCCUUUUAUUCAAAUCAACACAAGUUGAUAAGGAUGGAUCACUUUCUCAUAAAAGAUCAUGUGUUUGAAUUUCAUAUUGUCACCGUAAAAGAUGUGUUAAUAAGCGAUCUAUACGAACUUCUGCGAGUAUGCUCUGAUAUGUGAUGAUGAUUAAAAUCGAACCCACCAAAAUAUUUUUAUUACACCAAAAAAAAAAAAGGCCCCUUAUCCAAUCUUCUAUUGCUCUCGGGUGGAUCAUUGGGAGGUGCAACUGCUAUUUUACCAAAUUGCUCUGCACUUCUGAAUAUUCUAGUCCCUAUUGAGUGACAGCUAUAGUGAUGCUAAAGCUGUUUAAAAAAUUAUUAGACAAUCCACGAAAGAUAUGAGAAUCCGUUCUUGUCUUGCACACUUUUAAUAAUGGUCAUGCAAAAUGUGUGUAAUCGUGAUUGUGUCUGUUCACAUUCUGACUUUGUCUAUGGAUUUCGUGUAUGCAAAAGCCAAAAGGACUUGUUCUGGUACGCUCUUCGAUUUGGGCAUUUGAACUGUUGGUGACUAUGAAAGACUUGAACCUUGACUUCCAAUCACUUGUGACUAUAAAUAAUUUCUUCUAAAUUCAUACGAUACGAUUGUAUAGUACAUCCGUUUGAUUCGAUAGUGAUUCAUGUGUCGCCGAUUCUUCUAUAAAUUAAGUUGGGUCAUCUCUCUAGAAUAAGUUAAAGUAGAAGAAGGAAUAGAAAUAGAUGUCGAGUAGAUAAGUGACGAUUGACCAAAAAAAUGCACGCUUUUCGAUCAUUAUAUAUAUUUUAUUGUAUACCAUAAAUUUAUUUUGUGAGCACUAAUUCAAUAUGUGCAAAACAUACAAUUAAGUUAAAAAAAAAAAAACACACACACACACACAAAAAGGUAUCUAAUUCUACUAACACAAUCAUAUUUUACCCCGAGCUAUAAAAAAUAUCAUACUGCAUGGUGAACUGGUGAUGGCUGAAAAAAAAAAAAAAAGAAAUGGCGAUGGCUGACAGACAAAAUUUUCUUGUGGUUCAUGACAAGGAUCACUCAAGCGAUAUCGCUGAAACAUGCCUGCUUUUUUUUUUUUUCUUUUAGCAGUAGUAGAUAUCAGGCAGCUUCGAAAUAUUUGUUACCCCUCGAAUGUAAAAGCAAAUCAAUUAUAGUGCAGCUUCUACAUAUCUUUAGAAUAAGAAUAACUAUUUAAAUAUUUAAUAACUAAGAUUUAUGAUUUAACAAAAGAAAUUCUAAAGUAAAAUAAAAUUACUUUCAAAAGGUAGAAUUUGCAAAAGAAUUAAUGCUUGAAAUAAGUUUAAUGGAAUUAGUGAAGAUUGAUGCUUGAUCAAAUAGAGACAAAUGUUGAAAAAUUUGGUGUUUAUCUUGACUAAUAACUCCUAUUGUUCUUUUUUAGUUCUAGUCAAUUUAGCAUUAAUAAUUUGUAUAUGUAGUUAAAUCUUCUUUUACUUGUGUUUAAUUUCUUCUCUUUGUCUUUUCUUUUUUUUUUCAUUUCGAUAUAGUGUUUCUUUAGUUGCUAGUUUAAAGUUAUAAUAAUCAUAUCCAAUAAAAGGAAUGAUUUGGAUAGCAGGUGGCUAAUGAGAGACUCAUUAGGAGGGAUCUCAGAUGUGAAAUUUUUUCUUUAAAUGUAGUUAAUUUGUAAUUGUUUAAAUACAAGGGAUAAAAUAAUUGUAAUUGUGUAUAUUCAUAUGAUAAGUUAAGUAUAAUUUAAGUUGCUAACUAGUACUCGGGAGGGAGUGAUAGGUUGGAGAAUGAGUGUAAGUGAGAGAUUCCAAAUUAGAAUCUUUCCAUUUACACUAAAAAAAUAAAAAAAAAAUUGCUAACUAGCACUUACUGAGUGCAUUUGUUAGAAAAAUCCAUAAAGGACUUGCUAAUUAAGAGUUAUAUUAACUGCUAAUACCAUGUAAACAUUAAAGUGAAACACAAAUACUAAUUGUAUACAAAAAUUAGUUUUGUAAUAAAUUUGUAUCUUAUAUUAGUAUAAGAAAACUUAAGAUUUGGUUUUAAACAGAGGCAUUUAAGUAUAUUCUCUAAUUGAUAUCUAAAUGGGAAACACGUUGGGGGGGCAAAGUGAUCAAAUUGGAUUUAAAAAUUAGGACUUCAUAGACAAGUUAAAAAUUUUUUUUAAGGGCCUACAUAGAUUUUUUGAAAAACUUUGGGGGGCGGCUGCCCCUAACUCCCCUCCCAAUAACGUCUGUCUGUCGUAAUAGAAUCUGGAGAAAAUUCAUGAUUUUGGAUUCUUAUGCAUCUUCCACUCCUUAUGCGUAGACUGAAUAGACCAUCCGAUUGAUGGUAUUCUUUUCUUUGCAAUUGUGUGGAAUUUAGUGGGACGUGUACUACAGGGCAUGUGAUAAUUUGGACGUAAUGGCCCCAACUCAUCUGUCAAACGUCUAUCCUAAUACUACUAUCCCAACCCUUCUUAGGUUUGGUGGUGCGGGAGGUCAAGGGUUCGAACCUUGCCUCCCACAAAAUUUGUCACAAUAUGUGACGGUUUUUAUUGACCAGUUUCGAUGGAAUUUCUACUCACAUCGAGUCCCCUCCCCCUCCCCCUAGAAUAUACUAGGUUAGAUUAUAGAAAUUCUAUCGUAUCGAUCAAAAAAAAAAAAGAAUGCAAAAGGAAAUCAACCACUGGGCCAAUGGCUCAGUGCCACCAGAGAGGGGCUUAAGUCUCUCCUUGGAUUGUAAGUGAGGGUUCAAAACUCACCUGUAAUAAAAAAAAUCUAAAGGUUGUGCCAGAGCACUCCCUUAAUGUAGUUGGGUCUGUAUACUCACUAGCCCCCUAUCACAGCCUCCUUAGGCUCCCUCGUUGCUAAUAAAUAAAAAAAAGAAUGCAAAAGGAAAUCAGCUUGACCACAAUAGCGACUCCAAUAUUCAACAAAUGAAGAGAUGGGGUGAAAAUCUUGCCUUAAUGUAGUUGGGUCUGUAUAUUCACUAGCCCCCUAUCAUAGUCUCCUUAGGCUCCCCCGUUGCUGAUAAAAAAAAAAAAAAAGAAUGCAAAAGGAAAUCAGCUUGACCACAAUAGCGACUCCAAUAUUCAACAAAUGAAGAGCUGGGGUGAAAAUCUUGCCUUGAAUCUUCAAGAUAAUGAUGGAUUACGUGAUGAUGUUGUGUGAAUUUGCAUAUUUUCUUUUCGUUUAGUUGGACUGAGCAAAGGACUUUUUGACUCCUUGCUGACAUAAAUAUUAUGGUAGAAUGAACUUUCUUCCGUUGAAACUUGAAAGUAUCGCUUGAGAACAUAUCAUUAUUUGAUUUUCCUUUCUUUCUUUUCUUAUGUAAUCCUUCUAGAGGAGGAAUCGAACAUAAACUGAACAUGCUAAUAUUUGAUAAAUAUGUUUAUGAUGCAAACGAAAUUUUAUUUAAAAAAAUUUACUAUUCUGAUAAAGUGAACACGUUGAUAUAUAUAUUUUUUAAGACGGCGACAUCAGAACACGUUGAUUUUGGUUAUGUCAAAUUUAGCUAGCUAUAGAAGCUUCCAAUUUUUUGCCAUUUAACAUUAUUGAAUUUCUCUAUUGGGGCUCUGUGAUUGAAGUUUCUGGUGUGGUGUGGUCGUCAUAUGCCCCGAGGAAUCACAUCAGCAAGCAUUCGCCCCCCUUCCAACAGCGCCGGCUCUUUUUGACUCCUAAUACUAACCACCACAGUGCAGGGCAGGGCUGGCAAAAAUAAAGAUGAUUCCAAAUUAAUUGGCGGCAGCCGAGGCUAAGCUGUUCUUGCCCGCUAUUAAUUAAUCAGGCAGAAUAUUCUGAAAUUUCCAUUGCCAUGAAUUGGAAAAUGCUCCUACUAACAACCCUUGUAACCCCAAAAAAAAAAAAAAAAAAAAGGAGAUAUCACUUUCUUUCUUACCAAAGCAUGAUGUCACUUUUACGUCAUCCACAUCCAUCGUGUUGCUCGUGGGAUGCACGAGCAAUAAAUAGACGAAACGAGUCGUCUCAUCAUGUCUUAGGUGUCGACUGCCGACACAAGAGGGUUUAAUCAGUAAAACAGAAUAUUUAUUCACGAAAAAUCGUGUGUUUAAAUGCUGAGAAUUGCCCACGGGUUAAAUCACCCGGUCUGCGGCUGGAAAACCACUCGCAAGGUCGUGGGAUCGAACCUUAAUGGUACUUAGGCGCAGGGGAUUAGUCGGGGUCUUGACCCGGACACCCCUGUGUUGACAAAAAAAAAAAAAAAAAAAAUGCUAAGAAUUGUGUUAAUUGAUAAUCGAUAAAAGUCUCUGUCAACUACUUAUGAUUUUGGGAGCAUGUCCUGUAUCAUGAUGGUAAAAGGAGCCAAACCCACCCAUAUUUUCUACCCAAAAAAAAAAAUCUCAUCUCCUGAGCUUCUUAAAAUAAUAGUAUGGAAGAUGUGACCCCCCCUGCCUGGGGCCGUUCCCUCUUUUGCAUUGCUCCAAAUGAAGCUUUCAGAAUAUAGACAGAAUGGAAUAUCACAACCCGAAAUUCUUACCAGAUGAUGAACAAGAAUAUGAAGUUAGCAAUUUUUAUAUUUUAGGAAUGAAUUAAUGACAUAGUUUACAGCUCGUUAUUGAAUGCGACUGAUGUGACACGUCACAAUUUUUAACCAAACUUCACUAAGAAUGUAGAAGUAAUGCUCGAAUAUUCUCCGUUGAAAAAAAAAAUGAAGACAGUUCAAGGAAGAAAAAAUAUUCGGUAUAUUUAAGGACAGAAGUGAUUAAAUUGUUCUUACCGCAUAAUUCAAUGAUGACAACAUAAAGAGCCAUUUUUGGUCAUCCAAUUUUCUAAGGAUUAAUUUUUUAUGCACUAACAGUACAGUAAUUUUUUUAUACUAGCAGUUCUGGAUGUAUGCUACAUAUAUAUUAUUUGAAUUCAUGUUAUGUGAUAUGAUCUAAACCUUGUUGUGUAAAAAGAAAAUUGUACAUAUGAAAAACAUAUUCAUUUUUUAAACAAAGAAAAAAUUAGAAUAUUUUUAUUAGUACUUCUUCCAACUACUUCGCUCAUUUUCUUAACAACCUUUUGUAUUCAUCAACCGAACAUCUCAAAGGUGGUACAAAUACUUUUUUUUUUUGGUUCAAAACAUAUUUCUAAUAGAUUCAAAUCAAACGGACAGUUUCAGUUUAUUACAUCUUCUGUUGUAUUAUAAGUUGUUAUUAAUUAGUGAAAGAAGUAAAUUAUAUGAAGUCAAAGAACAACACUCUAUAAAUAAAUAAUUAAUUAAAUAGACAGCAUUUUUUUGAUCAAAAUUAAAUUCCAGUGAUAUGCAAUUCCUUGUUUGGGUCGAUAAUUUCACUAGAUUGGCAUGGAAUGACGACCUUUUCUAUUGGAUCUGUGGUUUAUUUCAUAGGUCAUUUUCUUAAAGAGGCUAAAAAGAAUUUUUUUUUUUCAUUCUUUUCGUGGCGGUCUCUUACUCUCUUUAUUUGAGCUAUCCCAAUAAAUUAUUACCAUUGCAGGCUCCAUGUCAGGUUUAUUAUUUGGACGUUCCUGCAGACUUUUAUGACCCAUUACUCGUAAAAUGUUGCAAUAGAUGCAUGUUAGUGUCGAGCAAUUCAAAACCAAAUUUAAAACCGUAACCUGGUUCCUGACGUUUCUUAUUUCCUAAUAGGCUUCUUCUUCUUCUUCUUCUUUUUUUUUUUGUUUAGCACACGGACGUAUUAUAAUGAAUGCUUAACAUGCCACAUUUUAACAGAAUCAAUGGAAAUACGGUAGUGAUGCUGGAUUAUUCUCCACAGAGAGUAAAGACAGCUUAAGGGUCAAAAGAAGAGGAAAAAAUGAAGGACAGACCAGACGUGCAAACAAACAGAUAAUAUAAUAGGACCCAAUAAAUUGUCGCCAUUGCAGGCUCUUUACUCUUCUACAUUCCUCAUUUCCUGUAGACUUCUGUGACCCAAUUACUCGUAAAAUGUUGCAAAAAACAUGGAGCAAUUCAAACCCUCUUUUUUUUUUUUUUUUUUUUUUUUGUGUCAGGGUGAUUAAAGGAAUACAAAAUUCUUGGAGACGACAUGGUCUUUAUAAUAAAAAAUAUAUAUAUAUAUAUAUAUAUAUAUGAAGGGCAGCUUUGCAUAUUUUAAGGUUGGUAAAGUCAAGGUAGAGAAAUUGAACCACUUGUGAUUCAUUAGCUUCAGAGGCCAAAGAUUCCAACACUAUUAAUAUGUGUUUUAGCUAAGUGAAGGGGUAGGGGCGUGAAGAGGGUUUGCAAUUGCAUAGCAAUGUUGGAUUUGAGUCCAUUAUAUGUACUUUGAUUUAGUUGAGCUAAAUCCCUUUUUUUUUUUUGACUCAACUGUUCUAGAAAGCAGGAUCGAGCUCGGCGGAAUCAAUUUACCUGCAGAAAUACCCUUUUUUUUUUGGUUGGGAUUGAAUUUAGAUUGCAGGAGUUGAGUUGGAAAUAUUCCAAGCGCAACGCAAUGGGAGUCUAUGAUUCCCCAGCAAUGAUGUUGCAGGGCAGGAGGAGCCAGGAUUAGGAUUAUGAAUAAAGUAACCACAAAUUGAUACAGUUGGUCUGGCAAUUAGUCCCAUAUGUGAUUUGUAAUUUAUGUAUGCACAGUAGCCAAUGGAUAGCUUCUUUGAAAGUUAAGUUAAACGCUUUGAGUCAUGAGUUGUGCCUAACCACCAACCCCCUGCAGUAUUAGUAUUAGUACUAGAUCAGUAAUUUUUUUUUUUGACAUCUGACUUUUUUUUUUUCCUUUGUAUUGGUUGGUUAAUCAGUCCCCGCCAAUAAUUAUCAUGAAUGAUUACAACAUCCAAAUUAAAAAAGAUGUGAUAUGAAGCAUAUCAUAUUAGUAUUAAAAUACACGACAUAUCCUAAGUUUCCAAUUGCUUUCAUCAUGAGGAUGUCCACAAAAGUUCUACUACUUAAUUAAUUUUUAUGUGCUAAUUAGGCACACAUGUUAGAUUAGUUGAGAAACCGAUCGAUCAAACCAGUUAAGCAUGUUCGUUAAUUAUGUCAAGCUCGAGUCUUAACACGUCUUCUUGCAAUUAAACUUAAUAAAUUAAGUGCCUUUACGCAUUUGAAAGAAGAAAGAGCACCAUUAAUUACCAUUUUUUGUUUUUCCUUGUAGCAUUCUUUUUUCACUCUCUAUAUUAUUAUAUGUGAAUGGAAUUAUGGAACCAACCCCACACUAAGCGUGGAUUCAUUUGUAUUAGUAGAAGGUCUUGACGUUCGGUAAUGAACACAAGGAACUGGACUCCAUAUCUAAGAAGUUAUGGUAGCAUUUGCUUUCAAGUUCCAAUGCUCAUAUUAAUCAUGAUUUCUAUCUGGAAUUAAUAUUUCUAUGCACCUUGAUGGAUAUUUACAAUUCUUUCUUUCAAUUAACCAACAAUUUUUUUAAAGUGAUAAUUCCAUUCACAAACUAAAUUACUAUGAACUAUAUAUGUCAGUCAAUUUUGUUAAGCAAAGCUUUAAAUGAAUUUUCUAGAAGGAGUUGAUGAGAAUGGACGCACUUGAUUUAGUCAAAUUUAUAAUCAACCAUUACGAAACCUUAAAAACAAAAAAAAAAAAAAAGAUUUGUUUGAUAUUUCUUAUCAACUAAACGAACGAGAAGACAACGAAGAAACUUUCACCUAAAAGAUGGAAAAUCGAAAUCCAUAUUACCAUUGCUAGUAGACUAUCAAACAAAAGAUACACAAAAUUACAACAUACAUUGAAAGAGAGGUGCUACUCUGCUCUAUGACCAACGAUCAAUCAGAAGGAAUUGAAAAUUUUUCUAGAAAGUGAAGAUUUUGCCAUGACUAAAUUGACAAUCGAUCGUGGUAUGAGGUAGAGCUGUUUUCCUAGUGAUAUGUGGUUUGUGUGUUGAAACUUUUGUAAGUGUGACUGUAGAAUCAUAUUUUUUAAUGGCCUAAACAGAUUUCCAAGUGGGUUAUCUAUAUCUUCAAGAUUCAUUGUAGUUCACCAAUUUGUGAUUAUUUUCAAUGAAUCGCAGAUGAUCAUAACCAGUGGCCGACACGGCAUCUUGUUGCUCUUGUUUGAGCUAGGUCAAGCAAAGGAAUUUUAGCGCCAAAAACAAACAAUAUAUAGGGUUAGAAUCAACAUAAGUUGAGUUACCCUUUGCUAGAUUCUAAAUUUUAACUUUUUUGGCCUAUUAAAAAAAAUCUACAAAAAACAAGCCAAGUAUAGGGCCAUAUAAUGUUAUUGAUAUUUCACUUUAUGAAAUCUUUUUAUUUCUCGGAACUGCGGCAGGCAUAUGCACGCUCAAAGACAUUGGCCGAGAAAGAAGUGCUGAGAUACAAUGAUGAGAAGAAAUUAGAGGUGGUGAGUCUUGUUUGUGGACUUGUUGGAGGAUACAAAUUUCAAUCCUUGAUAGGCGAAAGCAUGAGAGUGCUAGUAUCCCAUGUUACCAAAGCCAAGAUGAGGUAUCAAAGGUUUUUGGUGGGAGUGAUUGGAAAACUUCCAGUUUUGCACGUUGAAGAUGUUAUUGAUGCCCAUAUCUUCUGCGUGGAAAACCCGGGCUUCACUGGCAGAUUUCUAUGUGCUUCUGAUCUUCUAAAAUCAGAGGAGAUUGCAACGUUGAUUCAAAGUUGUUGCUCAGAAAGCAAAAUUCCCGAUGAGUAAGGCUUACCUUUAACCAUUUUUAUAAAUUAUAUUGAUGUGCCAUAGUUUUAGAGUCUGUCUUUGGGUCUUUGAAAUCAUAGGAACUUCCGUCGUAUCAAAAUGAGUAAAUGGUAAAAAUGGUCGCUACAUUAUUUAAAGUGGCAUGGUCUAGUUACUAAUCUUUUUUCCUUCUUCGAUCAAAAAGGUCAUUCAACUCCUUAAAACGGAUCUUUCAUGUCAUAUCGUCCAAUUUAACUAAUAAACCAAUCUAAAAAAAAGAAAAAAAAAACAUAUUUUGUAACCUUUGGCCAAAUAACUUUUGAGCAAAACUCACAAGCACAAAAUAGUUAACCCGAGUUGUUUAGUAGUUUUUGGACCCAAGCUUAUAAGCCAAAGAUUUCAUCUCCGACUCUACUGAUGUGGGACAAAGGAACGGGUAUCACAUAUUUGACCUACUCUUAUAGGUUUUCAGGAGAAAAAGUCCUAAAAUAUAGAUCAUUUUCGGUAAAUUUAGCAGAGACUGACUCAAAAAGCCUGUUUUAAGGAAUUGCAUGACCUUUUUGCCCCAAAAAAAAGGUUUAAUGAUCAAAUCGUGCUAUUUUAAAUAGUUUAAUCACCAUUCUCGUCAUUUGCUCUAUCAAAAUUUGAGUUACACAGAAACGUACUUUAAGUCUAGUGUUAGCCAUAUACAAGUUAAAUCUGAAUAUCAUCCGUAGGACAAAUCACAUGAAUAACAAUGCAGUUUAGCCGAAAGUGAAUCGUUAGUUUAACUUUGAAACGUUACCAUUGGAAAGACCAUAAUAGUCGUUUAAAUUUAAGAGGGCAGAAUCUUAUCAGUACUUCAUAGUAUAUUUCUUUUUUUCCAACCGUCCUUUAUUUUUGCUUUACCCAUCUGGAGCAGUGUUUACUCAGCCCAGAACUGUUUCUCUUCAUGGUAUGAAAUGGGAAAUGGGGUAAAUGAACCAACGGAAGUUCAUGCACACCCCAAUCUGUCGAGAGGGCCUAGACCCAAUAAAUGUUCCAAAUUAUCCAAUGCCAAGGCAAAGACUUGGAUCCACUCUGUCCUCCAACCGGCUUUACCAACUGUGAUUGAGGAGUAUAAUGCUAAGGCAAAAACUUGCAUAAACUCGAUCCACCAUUUAAUAUAGAUCUCGUGGAGAUAAAUAAGGCACGUCACUUUUUUUUUUGCUUUACGACCUUCAGGCAUUUCGGAAAAAAAUGACGUGACAAGUUUGUGGCCACACGAUCUAUAGCGUUGCCAGUGGACCAGUUUGUCCAAGUAUUUGCCUAAUGCCAACUGUUUGGUGUGCACGCUGGUAGACGAAGUACUUUUUUCUGACGUCAAUAUACUGUGGUUAACAAUAAUUAUGUUCUGAUUGUGGCUUUUUUUUUUUUCAGGUUCAUUGAGGAUUCGAAUAGAGAUAUUAGAUGGGGUUCUUCAAAGCUGGAGGAAUUGGGCUUUCACUACAAAUAUGACGCUGUGAUGACCCUAAAUGACUCUCCUCAGUAUUUCAGGGUUCCACUGGAGAGUUCCUAAAACACUACCAUAUAAGCAUGUUUCUGUUCAGUCAUUUCUAAUAAGGCUGAGAAAUCCCACCUUACAAGUAAGGAAAAGUUUAUGGUCCCUUUUGGGAACCAUUUUAUCAACUUGUAUCUCUCAUUAAAGAUAAUAAUUUAAAUUUUAAACAUUUAAUAAUGUUUAAACUAGAGGUCAAUAGCAUUUUUUUCACCAUCUAACGAUGAAUUUCACUUGCGGGUAUGAUAUCAAAAUGGACCGUAGAAUCACCUUAAAAGUAAAACCCUUUUUUGUGUCAAAUCUCAAUAGAUAAUAUAAUAAAAAUAGGGUCUCUCACAUUUUGUAAAAUAAUUUUUUCGUCUCUCACUUUUAAAAAUGUAAUUUUACGUCAUUUAUAAAUUCACAUUGGUCAAAUUUGGUCCCUACCUAAAUUUUCGACUAAUUUUUUGUCGAAAUCUAUCACGUGCCUUGCAGGUGAUCAUUUUUAAGGGGUAAAAUCGUGAAAUCAAAUUUUACAUAAUCCGAUCUAUAGUCCCUCACAUUUCACAAAAUGAAUUGUUUCAUCCAUCACAUUUUAUAAAAUGAAUUUUUCAAUCCCUCAUUGACCAUGUGUACAAAUAUUUUUUCUUUAAACUCAUGUAUAUAUCUAUUUGAUUUCACCUGAAUACUAUGAAUAACAUAUAACAUAUCUCUAUUUGAUUUCAUCUAAACAGGCUAAUUGUAGUUGUACACAUGCUAUUCAAUAGAUAUAUACUUGCGUUUAAAGCUAACAAGUUUGUUUUAAACUCAUGUAUAUACCCAUUUGAUUUCACCAUGUGAACCUAUUCAAUAUUUAUGACCUUUUCUCUUUUGGUAAUAAUUCAUUUAUUGAGUUGUAUAAUAAGACCAUCUAAUUAAUCGGUCCUAAUUUGAAUUCUAUAGUCAUAAUAACAAAUUGCAAUUUAAAUUUGAAAUUUCUACUCGCCACCUUUAAGACCAACAGUUAAACUACUUGUCUUGUGAUUGUUUUAAAAUUUGAGAGUGCCAAUCACUUACUUCUUUUUGUCAUACUUUUCAUUUAUUUAUUUUUUCUCUUCAAAUUUAAUUCGAUAUAAACAUUCGAUAAUGUUUAGGAUUAAAUGUCUUAUUUGUUUUCAAUUUUUGAGUAAAAAGAAAUGAACAUGAGUGAAAAAAUAACAAUUUUUUUAAAUUCAUAUAUAUAUCUAUUUAAUUUCGUCUGAACAAUAUGUUUAGAUGAAUCAAAUAGAAAUAUAUUACAUGCUAUUCGUACUAUUUAAGUGAAAUCAAAUAGAUAUAUAUAUACAUAUAUAUGGGUUAAAAAAAUUAUUCAUAUAUAUGAUCAAUGAAAAAUAAAAAAAUUCAUUUUAUAAAAUGUGAAGAGUGGAAAAUUUUAUUUUGUGAAAUGUGAGAAACGAAAAAAUUCAUUUUGUAAAAUGUGAGAAAUUAUGGAUCGGAUUAUGUAAAAUUUGAUUUGACAAUUUUUCCCUUAAAAAAUGUUCACAUAGAAGGCACGUAGUGGAUUCUGAUAAAAAAUUAAUUGAAAACUUAUGUAGGGAUCAAAUUUGACCAAUGUUAAUUUGUAAAAGACGUAAAAUUACACUUUUAAAAAUAAGGGACAAAAAAAGUUAUUUUACAAAAUGUAAGUGACAUUUUGAAUGAUUUUCCCGUAAAAAUAUGUUGAAUAAGUGAAAAAAAUAUAAAUAAUGCCACUUUCAGAAGAAAUUCUUGAAGUGGACUGUCAUUCAAUGUUGUUGAAAUGGUCAAAACAAUCUUUAUGAUUUUUAUAUUUUGUGGUUUAUUUAAUGACCAUACGUACUAACGGUCUGAUACUGGAUUGCAUGAAUUAAAGGUACAGGCGACUCUAGGGUCUGGCCUUUUUGCUUUCAAUUUUGCCUCCUACUCCUUUUUAUUUUUUAUUUUUUAUUUUUUCAGAAUCUGUUCUCUAGUUUUUGAGUCUGAUAACAUGAUUUUAGCCGAUCAGCUUACUCAAGAUUCAUCUACCAAAAGGUUUAUUUUGCUAAAUCAAACAUUGAAACUCGAUUUAAUUUAUAAUUCUACGUACACAUCACCUGAAGGAAAAAGGUGACCAUACAUCAAUCAUCAUGAAAUACAGAAAUUACAAAUGAACACUACCUACUAUGAUUGAUAUCUUCCGAGAUCAAAUCAGCAUUUAAUUUUUUUUUGACAUCUGAUUUUGUUUUCCUUUGUAUUGGUUGGUUAACCAGUCCCCGCCAAUAAUUAUCAUGAAUGAUUGCAAACAUCCAAAUUAAAAAGAUAUGAUAUGAAGCCUUAAUUAAUUAAAACCUUAAUUAAAUUUUAUGUACUUCAAUGAGAACCGAUCGAUCAAACUAGUUAAGCAUGUUCGUUAAUUAUGUCAAGCUCGAGUCGUAACACGUCUUCUUGUAAUUAAACAUAAUAAAUUAAGCGCCUUUACGCAUUUGAAAGAAGAAAGAGCACCAUUAAUUACCAUUUUUUUGUUUUUCCUUGUAGUAUUCUUUUUCAGUCUCUCUAUAUUAUUAUAUGUGAAUGGAAUUAUGGAACCAACCCCACACUAAGCAUGCAUUCAUUUGUAUUAGUAGAAGGUCUUAACGUUCGGUAAUGAACACAAGGAACUGGACUCCAUAUCUAAGAAGCUAUGGUAGCAUUUUCUUUCAAGUUCCAAUGCUCAUAUUAAUCAUGAUUGCUAUCUGGAAUUAAUAUUGAAAGAAAAAUAUUUACGCAGCGGAAUGAGCAAACAAUUUUUCGAUGUUAUUGCUUGAAUUUGCAAUUUGAUUCAGGCCUUGAUAUUUCAAAACAAAUAAAUACUUACUUGUUUAGACGAAUAUGCGAUGCCUGCUACAGAUGUUCGAAUUCCAGCAAUCAGCCUUCCACGCGUUACGCCUCUAGCUCGUCCACACAGACUCAAACUAAUGGAUUACUGAAUUUUGGAGUUUUGUCUUUUGUAGAGAAGAAAUAACUUUCUUUCUUUUCAAAAGACCAGCCGCAAUUGCCUCUCACCCUUUUUGGGACCUUGCCCAACUUUUGUCAAUAGGGUUUUAUUUAUAUAGUUGUUUUGAUUAGAUCAAUAUCUUAUACUAUCUUGAUCAAAUCAAUAUAACACAACUCAUAUGAUUAUCCAACCCAUAUUUGAUUCUUAUCUUGAUCAAAUCAAAACAACCGAUAUAUAUUUUAUUCUCAUCUUGAUCAAAUCAAAAUAGAAUAAAAUUAAUACAAUUAUUUAAUUCAUGUUUUAGUUUUGAUCACAUCAAAAUAUAAACACCAUUAAUAUAAUUAUAUUAACUGUUCUCUUCAUCUUUAUAAUAUUUGAGUCAUACAUAAAUACCAACUCCAAAUUCAGUCUAGAUUGGGUUUCAAGAUGUGCUAGCAUACUUACCAAAGUAUAAACCCAUUCUAAUCAAUUUCCCUAUUAGUUCAAAUCCUUUUGUGUGUGACUAUCUAGGUUCAUUACCCAGUUGGCAAUGUAAUAAACGUUAACCUAUUAACAUUAGUUAGAACAUUUCUAACACUUGAGAAGUUCUCCAAAUAUACCUCAAGUUAACAUAGUUCAUGAGUGAUGCCUAGCAGCAUAUCAUGACGCCCAACCGAUGAUGAAAGAUUGGAAUCCUUCUACGUGAACCAUGACUGCAAUUGUUUUGCAUAAAAAUCCUUCUAUUACUAUAUCCCUAUUGAGUUCAGUUUAGUAAUAAUGUCAAACUCUAAAACUCAAUCGUAUGACUUAAUCUAUCAAAUUACUUGACUAUAAAAUUGAUCAUCUACAUGAAUCAAUUUGUCUUGGCCAAGAACUCCUUUAGUCAAGAUUGAUAGAUUUCAUAAGAUAUCAAACCAUUCAUGAUGGAAUAAUAGAUCCCAUUUUGCAUAAACACUUGGCUCCAUGCAUAACUAAUUAGAGGUACCAUAUGCCAAUACUCAUCCGUGAUUAGAACAAGUAUUUUCUGCAUUGAUAGACUUUAACCACCCAUGAAUGAGCCAACCAUGUCAUCUCAGGUCUAAGGAUCACAUGCACCAUUGCAAUCAAUAAUGAAUCAUUGACAUUAAUAAGCUAAUGAUUCAUUAUUUAAAUUAGUUAGUGUUCAAGCCAACUUGUCACACAAGUGCCUCUCAUAUUUGUUCUAAUAUCACAUACUUAAUGGUAUGAGACUCGCCAUUCUAUUAUCAUUAAUAUCUCAUAUUAAUCAUAGAAAAUAAAUAUGAGACUAAUCUUCCGAAUUAAACUUGUCCAAUUAAUAAUCCUAUGAUUAGGAACAAUUUAAUAUUAUUUGUACCAAGUUUUUCCGUCACUCAUAUUCUCAUCACAUGAGAAUGGAAUCUUAACAAAUAAUAAUGGACAACAUUCAAUCAAAUCUAAACCAAGAAUAAUUGAAUCAAGAAGUGCCAUUUUAUUUUAAUCAAGACAAUAAUUAUUAAUGCUCUAGGGCAUACUGCUAACAAAUAUUUCUAUGCACCUUGAUGGAUAUUUACAGUCUUUCUUUCAAUUAACCAACUUUUUUUUUAAAGUGAUAAUUUCAUUCACAGACUAAAUUACUAUGAACUAGGUCAGUCAAUUGUGUUAAGCAAAGCUUUAAAUGAAUUUUCUAGAAGGAGUUGAUGAGAAUGGACGCAAUUGAUUUAGUCAAAUUUAGAAUCAACCAUUACGAAACCUUAAAAACAAAAAACAAAAAAAAAAAGAUUUGUUUGAUAUUUCUUAUCAACUAAACGAACGAGAACACAACGAAGAAACUUUCACCUAAAAGAUCGAAAAUCGAAAUCCAUAUUACCAUUGCUAGUAGACUAUCAAACAAAACGCACUUGAGUUUUUUGCCAAAUUUGUCAGUUACAAGUUUUUUAAAAACUUUAGUUAUAGUAAUCUAAAAAAAUUUCUCAAAAAUUUUAAACUAUACAUUUCAAAAUAUAUAAAAAUUUACACACUUCAAAAAAUUUUUUAAAAUUUAUAUAAUAAGUUACAGUAAAGUUUUAGACAAACGCCUAAAAAAUUCAUUUCUUAAAUAGGGCCAUAGAUUGAAAGAGAGGUGUUACUCUGCUCUACAACCAAUGACCAAUUAGAAGGAAUUGAAAGUUUUUCUAGAAAGUUGAAGAUUUUGCCAUGACUAAAUUGACAAUCGGUAAUGGUAUGAGGUAGAACUGUUUUUCUAAUGAUUUGUGGUGUGCGUGUUGAAACUUUUGUUAGUGCGAUUCUUCAAUGGCCUGAAUAGAUUUUCAACUGGAUUAUCUGUAUUUUCAAGAUUCAUUGUAGUCCACCAAUUUGUGAUUAUUUUCAAUGAAUGGCAGAUGAUCAUAACCAGUGGCCAACACGGCUUCGUGUUGCUCUUGUUCGAGCCAGGUCAAGCCAAGGAAUUUAGUGCCAAAAACAAACAAAAUAAAGUGAAUUUUUUUUUAUAAAAAAAAAAAAAAAAAGAAAAAGAGAGAGAGAGAGAGCCUUAAGCUAAGACAUGAAUAUUCGGGGAUUUCCGGUAUGGGUCAUUUAAUGAAAUGAAUAUCGUCCAGUUACCACCCAAAACAAAAAAAGGAAAAAAAAAAAAAAAAGAACAUCCAUACGCCAAAAUUAUUGGUAAAUGGUCACAACAAUAUACUAUUCGGUAUUGUUAAGCAAACAUAAAUAAGUUCAGUACAAAUAGAUGCUAGUUUUCGUUUCAAAAUUAGUGGAUUAUUAGUUGGUUAUUGAUUGUAAUGUUAUUAAAUAUAAUUGGUAUAUAUUAAUUCCACCACUGUGGACUGAUUAUAAUCAUAUGAAAAUUUUUUCCCCCCUUUUGUAAGGCUCAUUUCUCAUUUAUUUUUUUCAUUAAGUGUAAACUUCAAUUUUUUAAAUUUACUUUUAUAAGUGAAAGACGUCGAAUUAAGAACCUCCCAUUUAUAAUAUUUUUUAUCUUAUCAUCUAAUCCAAUCCUGGUCAACAACUUCAAGUUUCCUUCCUACCCAAUCCAAUCCUUCCCGGUCGACAACUUCAAGUUUCACUUCCUAGCAAAACUCAAACAAUUAUUCAAGUUCUUCUCAAUAGUUAUAUAAGAAACCUCCAAAAACACCAAGCACCAUAUCUUGAAAAUAGUGGAUGACAUCAUCCACUAUUUAUCAUCCACUAUUUUUGAAGAUAUGGAUUGGAAACGUCAAUUUUGGCGACAUAACGUAAUCGAGGACUGAGGACGAGAUGUCAGUGAUCGUGGAAAAAAUUUGGCUUUCACAAUAUAAUAAUAAUAUAUAACAAUACAGGCAGAUUAUGCUACAUUAUAUUAUUAUACUACAAGAGGAAAAAGAUUCACCUGAGCGCAAGUGGGAGCACCAUGCUCCAGCAUCAAUGUACUCCGAUCCUCGAGAAGCAACAAAUGACCACCCCAGCCUCCAAAGUAAAAUUAAUUAUAGGGAUAAUUUCAAAAAACCUCCCCUAAAGUUUAAAAAAUUACACUUAUAUCCCUUAAUUUAAUAGUUUUAAUAAUAAAACCUUAAAAUAAUAUUGACUUGAUCAAUUUUUUAAAUGAAUAUCCAAAAAAUGCACUUGUCUGAUGAAUUUUAAUUUAUUUUUCUAUACAAUUAUAAGAUUAUUUAGUAUAAUUAUAAGGCAAAUGUACCAAAAUUUUCAUGCCUAUUUCUACUAUUUGAUAAAUAAUUAUAAUAAUAAUUUUAUUACUAUGAUAUGAUGCUUUUGAUGGUAUUUUAUUAUAAAUUUUGAUUUAUAAGAUAGAAAUGAAAAUGUUGAAAUAGUUCAUUUAGAGUUUAUGAAUUUUUGGAGCGGUGGGAUAUCAUAUUUUAAUAGUGGUUUUGGGCCAUUAUUUAUUUAUUUUUAAUUUUAAUACCAAAAAAAGAUUACAAAUAUCAGCAAAAACAUUGGAUUGCAUAUAAAAUUAACUCAUAAAAAAAUCACUACUUCGACAUUUAGUUAUAAUAAAAACUAGAGGCAAUAGUGGUAGUUCUAUAAUUUUAUUGGUAAGCAAUUUAAAAAAAAAGAAUGAAAAAAUAAUUUAAAAACUCAUUCUAAGAAUAAGCAUGCCAAAUAGGCCUGUCAACGGGUCGGAACUAAUAAAUCCGGACCGAACCCGUUAUUCUAUACCAGUUUCGAAUCCGACUCGGAUAUCCGACGGGUAUUCUAUUCUUUCUCCAGGAACCGGAUCCGGCGGGUCCUAGAUCCAGGUCGGACCUACCCGAAAAAAUUAUAUAUUUUUAAAAUAAUAGUUACAGAAGUAAAUUUGGAAUAUUAUAUUAAUAAAUAUAUACUUUUUAAAUUAUUAAUCAAUUUAUAUUCGGGUUCGGGUCGAAUACGGGUCGAAAAUACCACAUUUCGUAUCCGAUUUGUUUUUUGUUUAACAAAACGGAUCCGGAUCCGGGUCCCGGAAUUAUAUCCCUACCCGUAUCCGAAAUAAUUUGACUGAUCCGGUCCGGAUUCAAUAGACCGUUGACAAGCCUAAUGCCAAAUAAGGAAAUUUCAUUAAAAUAUUUAAAAAUAAAAUUAUUAUUUUAAAUAAUAAGGGAGGUAUGUAUAAUUUUUUAAAUUUCAGGAGAGCUCAAUGUGAUUGUCAGAAACCUAUAUCCCUUAAUUAUAUUGUGCUGUAUCAUGCAAACAAAGUGCUCCUAUAUACAACCCUUGGCCACAUCAAUCAGUCACCAGAUUUAAUUGCAAAAAAUGAACACCAAGGUUUGCGUCACGGGAGCUGCAGGCUAUCUCGGUUCUGCCCUCGUUCACAAGUUGCUGGAAAAAGGGUAUGCCGUCCAUGCUACUCUCCGGAAUUUAGGUAGGCAACCUGCCAUGCCAAUCUUUACUUCUUGGUCUCUCUCUGUCUUUCUUUCUAUCACUUACACACUGCCUAAGUAAUGAGGAGAUGGCUGAGCAAUUAGAGCUAUUAGGGUCGAAGUACUGGCGGGCUUUGUUAUACGUUGACAGGCUAAUUAAGCAAGAAGGGUUUCGUUUUAACAGCUAAAUACUUGUAUGUGAUGAUCUAGGAAAAAAGUUAAGAAAGUAGUGCACAUGUACGUGCAGGUGAUGCAUCAAAGACAGGGCUGCUCAAAGCUCUUCCCCACGCAGACACAAGGCUCUUAUUGUUUCAGGCAGAUAUCUACAAUCCUGAUGAGUUUGGUCCUGCUAUUCAAGGCUGCCAGGUGGUUUUCCACGUUGCCACUCCCUUGCAGCACGACGCCUCCAGCUCUCAGGUUCCAAUUCUCGAACCGUUAGAGAAGAAAAAAAAUGGAAAAAAAAACUAUAAUGUUGCUGCUGGGUUAAUGAUGCUUUCUUUCAAAAUUAACGAAGCUAAAACGGAAUUUCCCUACAGCAAUAUGAAGAAAUUCUCCUCCCUGGAACGAUUUGUGGAGGAUAUUGUUUUGAUUUCACGAGGUGAAGAACCAAAACUAGUUUCAUUGAUGCCUCAGAUGUAUGCUAUUCAAAUACACAGUUUCAGCGAUGCCUCUUGAAAAAGUACCCAUUUAAUAGGCACCCUUUUAGGGAAUACACACAUAUCUUUUCUUAAGAUUCAACCAAAAUGGCCCAAAGUGCCGAUUUAUUGACUUUUGAAUAUAAUCUAUUGCAACAGUCAAAAGAAGACAAAUGCGCAUGACACUCAGCAAUUUUCCUCCAAAAGUUUCCCACAAAAGAAAUUCAACUGAGUUGGUGUAAAGCUUUAAUUUAUGUCUUUUGAUCUUCUACAAACUUUCCAAUUUGGGAUUCCAACCAAUACACCGCCAACGAUACUUACAAUACAUAGCAUUAACUACCCCACUAGAUGGUGUAUUAUGUGGGCGUGUUUGGAUAGAAGAUUAUUUGGGAUUUUUUUUUUUUGAAAAAAAUAUUAUAGCAUUUUUUGAUGUGACAUAUAUGAGAUCACAUAAAAAAUUGAUUCAAAAAUAUGCUGAUGCUAUAUGCAAAUAAAAGGGCGAAAAAUUAUUAGUAUUAUUAUGCUCGUGUGACUUACAUUACAUGUCUAUCAAGUACAGCUGAAAGUUUGCAUCGGCACUGUUGUGGUAGACGAUUAGUAUAUAUAUUAACUAUAGGAAGAAUGCAGAAAUGGCGUGCCUGAUGAACUUAUAAUUUGGGAGUCGAUUUUGAGGACCUAAGGAGAUCGAGUUUAAGGUGCCUGAAACCAAUUUUUGGGACUUAAAUUUCGAUUAAUUUGAGGUGCAUUACGGCAGCAUAUUUAAACUGGUUGGAUUAAUUGUUCUGUGACCCUAUCAAGUGUACAAUGAUUACGCAUGCAGUAUAAGAAUACUUGUGAGGCAGCUGUUGCUGGGGUGAAGACCAUUGCUGAAUCCUGCAUCAAAUCAGGAACUGUGAAGCAACUCAUCUACACUGCCUCUGUUGUAGCAUCAUCAGCAUUAAAGGAUGAUGGAUCAGGCUACAAGGACACAAUCGAUGAAUCCUGUUGGACUCCUCUCAAUGUCUCCUAUAGAUGCGCCACAGAUUUCUUAACUGUAUGUAGUAGGUCUAUCCUCAUUCUUACUCAGAUUGCACUGCUUUAGCAAAGUAUAUUUGGAUUAUUAGUUUCAAUCUAAUCUCUUAUGAUAACAAGCCUAAUGCCUUAUUCUCGUUUGCUUUAAAAUUAAUUUUUUGUCAAAAUUAACGUGGAAACUGAUUAUAUAGAAUAAUUAGAAUCAACAUGAGUUAAUGUUACCCUUUGCUAGAUUCUAAAUUUUAACUUCUUUGGCCUAUUAAAAAAAAUCUACAAAAAAAAAAAAAAAGUCAAAUAUAGGGCCAUAUGAUGUUAUUGAUAUUUCACUUUGUCAAAUCUUUUUAUUUCUCGGCGCUGCGGCAGGCAUAUGUACGCUCAAAGACAUUGGCCGAAAAAGAAGUGCUGAGAUACAAUGAUGAGAAGAAAUUAGAGGUGGUGAGUCUUGUUUGUGGAAUUGUUGGAGGAUACAAAUUUCAAUCCUUGAUAGGCGAAAGCAUGAGAGUGCUAAUAUCCCAAGCUACCAAAGACAAGAUGAGGUAUCAAACUCUAAGGUUUUUGGAGGAAGUGAUUGGAAAAAUUCCAGUUUUGCACAUUGAAGAUGUUAUUGAUGCCCAUAUCUUCUGCGUGGAAAACCCGGGCUUCACUGGCAGAUUUCUAUGUGCUUCUGAUCUUCUAAAAUCAGAGGAGAUUGCAACGUUGAUUCAAAGUCGUUGCUCAGAAAGCAAAAUUCCCGAUGAGUAAGGCUUACCUUUAACUACUUUUAUAAAUUAUAUUGACGUGCCAUAUAGUUUUAGAGUCUCUCGUGGGUCUUUGAAAUCAUAGGAACUUCCGUCGUAUCAAAAUGAGUAAAUGGUAAAAAUGGCCGCUACAUUAUUAUUUAAAGCGGCACGGUCUAGUUAUCAAACUUUUUUUCUUUUUCGAUCAAAAAGGUCAUUCAACUCCUUAAAACGGGCAUUUAGUGUCAUAUCGACCAAUUUAAUCAAUAAAUCAAUCUAGAAAAAGAAAAAAAAAAUCUUUUGUAACCCUUGGCCCAAAUAAAUUUUGAGCAAAAUUCAUAGGCACAAAAUGGUUAACCUAAGUUGUUUAGUAGUCUUUGGACCCAAGCUUAUAAAGACAAAGGAACGGGUAUCAUAUAUUUGACCUACUCUUAUAGGUUUUCAGGAGCAAAAAAGUCCUAAAAUAUAGACCCUUUUUGGUUAAUUUAGCAGAGAAUGACUCAAAAAGCCUGUUUUGAGGAAUUUACAUGACCUUUUUGCCCCAAAAAAAAGGUUUAAUGACCAGAUCGUGCCAUUUUAAAUAGUUUAAUCACCAUUCUCGCCAUUUGCUCUAUCAAAAUUUGAGUUACACAGAAACAUACUUUAAGUCUAGUGUUAGCCAUAUACAAGUUAAAUCUGAAUAUCAUCCGUAGGACAAAUCACAUGAAUAAGAAUGCAGUUUAGCCGAAAGGGAAUCGUUAGUUUAACUUUGAAACGUUACCUACUGUAAUUUAUUGGAAAGACCAUAAUGGUGGUUGAAAUUUAAAAGGGCAGAAUCUUGACGGUAUAUUUCAUUUUUUCCAACCGUCCUUAUUUUUGCUAUACCUAUCUGGAGAAGUGUUUACUGAGCCCAGAACUGUUUCUCUUCAUAGUAUGAGAUGGGCAAAGAUACCAAGAAAUGGAUAAUGAACCAACAGAAGUUCAUGCAACCCAAUCUGUCAAGAGGGUCUGGACCCAAAAAAUGUUCCAAGUGACCCAAUACCAAGGCAAAAACUUGGAUCCACCAAUUGUUGGACUUAAAUCCACUCUGUCCUCCAACCGGCUUUACUAGCUGUGAUUGAAGAGUACAACGCUAAGGUAAAAACUUGCAUAGACCCGAUCCACCAUCUGAAUAUAGAUCUCGAGGAGAUGAAUAAGCCAUGGCGCUUUUUUUUGCUUUACGAUCCUCAGGCAUUUCGCAAAAGAAAUGACGUGACAAGUUUUGGCCACACGAUCUAUAGCGUUGCCGGUGGACCGGAUCUGUCCAAGUUUUUGCCUAAUGCCAACUGUAGGUGUGCACGCUGGUAGAUGAAGUACUUUUUUCUGACGUCAAUAUGCUGUGGUUAACAAUAAUUUCUUGAAUGGAAUUAGAUGUUCUGAUUUUGGCAUUUUAUUUCAGGUUCAUUGAGGAUUCGAAUAGAGAUAUUAGAUGGGGCUCUUCAAAGCUGGAGGAAUUGGGCUUUCACUACAAAUAUGACGCUGUGAUGACCCUAAAUGACUCCCUUCAGUAUUUCAAGGUUCCACUUCCACUGGAGAGUUCCUAAAACAUUACCAUAUAAGCAUGUUUCUGUUCAGUCAUUUCUAAUAAGGUUGAGAAAUCCCACCUCACAAGUAAGGUGAAUUUUAUGGUCCCUUUUGGAACCAUUUUAUCAAUUUGUAUCUCUCAUUAAAGAUAAAUAAUUUAAAUUUUAAACAUUAAAUAAUGUUUAAACUAAAGGUCAGUAAUACUUCUUUCACCAUCUAACGAUGAAUUUCACUUGCGGGUAUGAUACCAAAAGGGACCGUAGAAUCACCUUAAACCCUUUAUUGUGUCAAAUCUCAAUAGAUAAUAUAAUAAAAAUAUGUUGAAUCUGUGAAAAAGAUAAAUAAUGCCACUUUCAGAAGAAAUUCUUGAAGUGGACUGUCAUUCAAUAAUGUUGUUGAAAUGGUCAAAACAAUCUUGAUGAUUUUUAUAUUUUGUGGUUUAUUUAAUCACCAUACGUACUGACAGUCUGAUACUGGAUUGCAUGAAUUAAAGGUACAGACGAGUCUAGGGUCUUGCCUUUUUGCUUUCAAUUUUGCCUUCUACUCCUUUUUUAUUUUUAUUAUUUUUUCAGAAUCUGUUCCAUAGUUUUUGGGUCUGAUAACAUGAUGAUUUCAGCCGAUCAGCUUACUCAAGAUUCAUCUACCAAAUGGUUUAUUUUUCCAAAUCAAACAUUGAAACUCGAUUUAAUCUAUAAUUCUACGUACACAUCACCUGAAGGAAAAAGGUGACCAUACAUCAAUCAUCAUGAAAUACAGAAAUUACAAAUGAACACUCUAUCUUCUAUGAUCCAUGUCUUCCGAGAUCAAAUCAAAUCCUAAACUAGCCGGUGGCGGUGGGUACCAACAUGUACAUCUAUUAUAUUCUCGGACUACAACUAAAAACUGAUUUCACAGUUUAUUCAUCUCUCUUUCCGGCUUCCGGUGCGGAAGGAUCAAAACAGGUAC